UUCCACAGUGGUGUCAUCACAUGCAUAACAAACAUGUUUGGCUCCCAGCUGAACAGGUAAAGACACGACAGCAUUUCUUUUUUAAAAUGAAUGCCAAAGCCUUUGCCUCUACUCAGGUCCCCUAAGCUUCCUUCCCUGCCCAGGAAUUGGAUCUGGGGUAAUGGGUGACCCAGCAGGCACAGAGAUGACAGAUUCCUGCAUCAUGUAGCAACGCUGGGACAACCUGGGACAACGCUGGGACAAUGCUGGGGCAUCUGGCCUGGCAGGAAGGCGGGCCGCCGUUGCUGGCCAGAAACUGCGGGAGAAUCUCUUGGACUUAUGUCUGGAAGGAAAGACUUGAGAGACUUCAAACUCUCUUCUUUUGUGAGCAGGAACUGGGAAUACAGCUGUGAAGAGAAACCAAUCCUGCAUUCCAUGCUCUUACAGACCAAAAGCAUCAUCAGGUGAGGAAACAUGAUUACCAUACAGGCUUGUUAUCUUUGAAUGGCUGAUACUAAUGGUAUUUACUGUUCCCCACAUGUCCACCACAUUUUCUGCAUGUUCCUAUCGUGGUUCCUGUUUUAUAUGUGUAUGUGUGUUUGUGUGAGAAAGAGACAGAGAGGAGAGAGAGAAUAGUUAUACACACACACACAAAUGUAUGUGUUUGCUUUUUAAGGUACUGGAUUCCUCUAUCUUCCAUACGAUUAAGAAUUCAUAGAGCUCCAUUUCCUUCACUAAGAGACCUAUCGGCUCCUAGGAAAUCUCAUCCACUUUGAGCCCUGGUAGUGACACCACAGUGUCAGGGAAAGAAUGCUAAUGAUUUUUCCACUAGCUGAUCCCAAAAGCUUGGCAGAGGGAACUCAGUCCACUGAAUAUUUAUAUAGCACCUUGAUUAAAAAAGCUCAAUGCAAUAUUCUAAGUAACUGAAUUAUAACCUCAUUUUGUAAACUGUGUAUUUUAAAUACAAAAAUAAGCUCCUUUACCAACCUUUAUUAUUUGUUUAAAACAAUCACAAGAUAAAUUUUGUAGAAGACUAGAAGUAAAAUUGUAAAUGGUGAUAAUCUCUGGGUGAUGGAAUUACAGGCAAUUUAAGUGAUUUCUGCAUUACUCAAAAUUUACACAAUUAACAUUAUGGACUUUUCAAUUAGAAAAAAUAUUACAUAAGCAAUUUAAGUUAACAGGCCAUAAAAAAAUAAACCUCACUCAUAAUUUAAAAAAAUACUAAGUAAAAUAAUUCUCUAAAGCUAUCACAUUAAGAUAUUAUAAAGUUAGUAUACCUAGUAUAGGCAAGGGGACGGCAAACUAGGCUUUAGCUAUUAUACACAGCUGAUACGAUUACAAAUUGUCCCCAUCUUUUUGGAGGGCAAUAUGGCAUAUCUAUCAAAAUUUUAAAUGCACAUACUUCUGAACCCAACAGUUCCACUUUUAGGAGUUUUUCUUAUAGAGGGACUUGCAUAAGGGUACAAAGAUAAAUGUAGAAGGAUGUUCGAAAAGGAAUUUUUUAAUUGUACUAGAUUCAUAAAGUGAAAUAUUCUGCAACUGUUAAGAAUAACUCUACAUGUACAUAUGAUUAAAACUUACUGUUUUGCGCAGAAAGCAAGUUGCAGAAUAGUGGAUAUAACUCCUUUUGUAUACAAUUUUUAAGGGCUGCAAAAACAUGUAUAUGCUUGUGUAUACAAUUAAAACCUAACUGUGGAAAUAUCUCUUGAUAAGUGAGAUGACUGAGGUAGGCUGGGGCUUUUUAUUUUUAAAAAAUUUAUUUGAAGAGUAAUGUUUAAUUUUUUAUUGAGGUACAUACAAUAAAAUGCACAAAUCUUUGUAUACAGCUUGAUAACUUUUGAUAUACAUAUCACUAAUGUAAAAAUUUUCAUUAUUUUAAAACUAAUAUUCUUUGAUUAUUUGAAUUUUGUUACAUUGAGUAUGUAUUUUUAUUUUUAACAGCCUUUUUGGGACAUAAUUCAUAUACUACAUAACUCAUCAUUUAAAGUAGUUUUUAGACCACUUACACAUUCAAUGUUUUUUAGUAUUUUCAAAGACUUGUAUGAUCAUUACUUUGAAUACAGAUGUUGAAUUAUAAUGUUGUACACCUGAAACUUAUAUAUAUAAUGUUAUAUACCAAUUUUACCUCAAUAAAAAAAAAUGUUUUUGGAAGAUGCUCCAAAAGUGAAUUUGCUAGUGGCAAGAGAAUGUGUGUGUGAGAUACAAUCAAAGGUCUGAGUAAGGUAACAAUACACAUAAACAUGGAGAAAAAAAUAUGAGAACAAAGGGCGGAGAGGCCAGAUAGCAAGAAAGGAAGAUGCUAAAAUGAGUUUUAGGAACACACUAGAUCUGCCUUCAUUAAACAAACACAUCUGGGUUUUGUAACAAAAAGCUCAAGGUAAGAUAUUUGGGCAUGAUAAGGAAAAAAAAAAGAACAAAACCUUGAUUUGAUGGUAAUACAAAUAUUUGUAUAAACCAGAUUCUAAAUAAAUCUGCAGACAGCUGGAUAUGAUUCCUUUUAUGGAAGAUGCAAAUAAAAAGGGUUUAGAGAAAUACAUUUACUUUGUAGUUGCCAGAAAUCUCUCUUGUCUUAGGAAGCCUGACAGAGAGAUACUAAUUCUCAAGCACACUAACUAACUGAACAUGAAUAACACUCAAUUUGGUUAAGAGUAUCUGAGAAUAUAAGGAAAGCUUGAUAGAAGUGCACUCUUGCAACAUAGUGACCAACUUAAUAAUCACAAACCAUGCAGGAAUAUUCUCUUUGGCUCAAAGUUUUGUAUAUGUAUUUAAAAGGGUGAGAAAACAUACAUUUGAAAGAUAAUGUUUUAUGAAAACAUUCAGCAAAACUCACAUUUAAUCUCUGUAUUACUUAACAUUAUCUUUUCUCUGAGACUCUUCCUUCAUUAAAAUCUUCCUCGAGCACUACAGAUCUUAGGAACAUUUUGUAGACUAUAUCAUCUUAUUUUCCUUUUUUGUAUCUUUAAAAGCACAGUUGUACAGUUGGAGGAGUCUCUGGCACCAGGAACAGCAAACUUUCUUGCUUAUCCUGUAAAUCAAUUAGCUUAGAUACAGCUCUUAUUUACUUAAUUAGGGCAAUGUGGUGACUGCAGCUCUAGUUCAACAUCAAUAAAAUAAUGAAAAUGUACACAGGAUAGCUAUGCCCAUGCAAAAUCUGUUUUGUAAAGGAGUAAACAUCAGAUUAAAAAUAAAAGCCAGCCAUUUUUGAAUUACAGAACUGCAAAGUAAUGCUGGUGCAAUAAUUUAUUAUAACAAUUAAAAAUUUUAAAUUUGUUAUCUGAUGGGAUGGAUCAUCUUUAAGAGUAUCUUAAGUGGUAAAAGCUUUAAAAUCUGAUGACAGUUCAAAAUCACUCAUGUUUAUGGCUAACAGUUGACAUAAUACUAAGGAAUAAGGAAUCCUCAAGAACUAGCUAUCCUUUUAAGUAUUAUAGUAUGGUGUGUUUUUCUAUUUCUACAUGUGCAUGUGUGCAUGUGCAUGUGUGUAACACAGAUUAUUGGGAAUUAAUGUACUGCGUGUGCUGGAGACUGUUGCUAACAACAAAGUCAUCUCUAUAAAUGCUCCAAUUGACUAUAACUUCUUAGCAAACCAUAUGAAAAAGAAAAUGUUACUAUCCUGGUAACAUGCCAUGUAGGACAAUGAUCAGACUAUAAUUCUUAUUUAUUUGCUUUAAAGCAAAGUCAUUUAAUCAAAAAGGCUACCUAAGUCUUGUCCUGUGACUGUGACAACAAAUUAAAAUGGAAUUGCUUAAACCUCCAAAAUAUGCAAAAUGGUAACUGAAAGAACAUCACUUUAAUGACAAUUAAAGCCAGCCAUCUCUGUGGGCUAAAUGCAGAUACAAGUGGAAGCUAACCUUGGCUUUCAGGCUUAAGGUUAGACUAGUGGGACUUCUAUUGUCAUCUGGACAGGUGGCAAUAACCUUAGAAGGGAUGCAGAGCCUUCAAAGUCUUCUUUUAGAUCUUACAUCAAGCUACAAUGAACCCUGGCUUCAAAACAAAAUUUGAAUGCCAGAAAGCAAAGGCGAAGGGUUAAAUGCUCAUUAUUUUUUAUUUCUUAGAUGCUAAAAUAUUUUUAAAAGCCAGGACAGCUCAAUUUAGAUUACAAAAAGGCACUCUGAUGAAAAGAAAAUGUGUUCCUAAAUAUAUUUUGAAGUAGAUGGUUAGAAAGCUAAUAUAGAGUUUAUGGUCUAAAUAUAUCAUUCUUUCAGAGGCAGAACAUAUUGCUGGGGGAAAAAAAUCCUCCGUCAUAGGACUUAUGGCAUAUAGUAACUAAAAUGUUUUUCCAUUUGUUGAAUUUUCAAUGUUGGGGAAUAUUUUUCAGUAGACCCGGAGAGAAGUCCUAAAUUGGAAAAGCAGCUGCAUCCAAGGUCAUCUCUCUUGUUUCCAAAUAUAUCUUGAAACAAAUGCAAGAAGGGCACUUUGCUGAGUGUUAUCUGGACAUAUAUAGUUUCAAUCAAAUUCUUCAAGAAGUGUCAGAAUAAAAGCUGAACAUUUGUUUGACACUGCCAAGUCACUAGCAAGUGGAUCUCUUCAAGGGCUGAGGCUCCCCUUGGCGACCCGGCAAUUAUUACAACAAAAAGGAGCUCUUUUCCUACUCUCAAGAAAAAUAAAUGAAGCACAGUUAAACACCAGCUCUGAAUUUUUGUCACAUUUUUUGAUGUAUAGGAAAUCAUAUAAAUUUAUAAAAAUGUCUCCCAACAAAAAUAAAACUUAAAUAUUCUGUUCCUCAGCUGAAUUGCUUGAAAUUAUCAAAUCUUUUUUACAUAUCUGAAAUGUUACAUGUAACAAAAAGGUGAUGGUAUAGAUGAUAAAGAGUUGUAAACUGAAUCAGAGAAAAAUGUUGAAUCUUUGACUUAAAUGUAAAAAAUACCUGUCCAAACACAAUGAAAUAAAUAACUGGCUUAUUGCCUAUACUGCUCUCCUUCGUCAUAAAAACAAACCAAGCUUAGUCCAUGAUAGCAGUCUCCUGUGGAGAUGAUCUUUGUCAUUCUUUACAAUGUAAUGAAUCUCUCUGAUUCAUUGAUGUACAAUGAAUUCAUCAAUGUAAUGAUGUAAUUUCAUCAAGGGUCAGAAAGGAACCAGGGAUAUUAAGAGCCAUUCCAGUUAUUAUAUAUCAAAUAGACAACGAUUCACAAUUGCACCAAAUCAAGACUUUCAGCAAUCUGGUUCCCAGCUCCAUUUCCAGCUCCAUCAUCCUCAUUCCAUCCAGCCUUACCUGGCUCAUGCCUCCUUUCUUUGAAGGAGAAGCCCUGCCUUUUCCCACUUAAUACAGAGCUGGAUGCAAAAGAGGGCCAAUGAGUCCUUGCUGGUUUCAUUACUGCUGUCCUCCUACACUCUUCCACUUACUUAACCAAAUCUACUCAUCUUGCCUGGCCCACAUUAUUCCCCCACUUUGACAAAGCCUCCUGGACUCCCCUGUAACACGUCAGUCUUCCCUAGAUCUCCAAUUGAUUGAACUUUGAUUGCACCACGAAAUUGAGCACUUGGUUGUUACAUUCUGAUGUACAUAUUUGUUGUGGUUUAAUAUAUUGUUAGUCCUGUUAAUAACAGGGGCCACGUCUUAUACAUACCUUUUCAUAGAGUCUAGGUGAGGGCCCAGCACAUCAAAUUCCAGAGCUUGUCAUUAAAAGGAACUGCUCCUCCCUAGCAACUGGGUAACUCUCUGAGCCAUACUAGACUUCUUGUCAUUUCCUGAACAUACCAUGUCCUUAGAUGUCUUUAUGUCUUCUCCCUUUCCUAUGCCUAUCAGAAUCUUAAGUCCUUACAAAUCCUUCCAUUAAUCUUUCCUCAAUCUCCCAUGUCAGACUUAAUUGCUUUUUUUCUCUGAGCUUCUUGUUCUUUUUAUACAUAAAAAGAGAACUUUUUAUUUUGCUACAUAAUGUAAGAGUUUUCUAGACUGUGAGCUCCAAAGCCAAACCAGGUCAUGUUCAUUUUAUAUUUCAGUACUUAGCUCAGUGUCAGGCACACAGAAGAUAAUAAAUAUUUGCAUAUGAAUAAACUUAUAAUUUCAUUCUCCAAUUAAUCAUAGUAUCGUGC